UACGUAGGUGGCAAGCGUUGUCCGGAAUUAUUGGGCGUAAAGCGCGCGCAGGCGGUCUUUUAAGUCUGAUGUGAAAGCCCACGGCUCAACCGUGGAAGGUCAUUGGAAACUGGAAGACUUGAGUGCAGAAGAGAAGAGCGGAAUUCCACGUGUAGCGGUGAAAUGCGUAGAGAUGUGGAGGAACACCAGUGGCGAAGGCGGCUCUUUGGUCUGUAACUGACGCUGAGGCGCGAAAGCGUGGGGAGCAAACAGGAUUAGAUACCCCGGUAGUCC
rnacentral:rRNA from 1 species